AGUGUACAGAAAAAAUCACAGAAUACGUUGAGUAGGAAGGAUCCCACAAGGAUUAUCGAGUCCAACACCUGGCACUCUACAGGA